GACGAACGCUGGCGGCGUGCUUAACACAUGCAAGUCGAACGGAAAGGCCCUGCUUUUGUGGGGUGCUCGAGUGGCGAACGGGUGAGUAACACGUGAGUAACCUGUCCUUGACUUUGGGAUAACUUCAGGAAACUGGGGCUCAUACCGGAUAGGAGCUCCUGCUGCUUGGUGGGGGUUGGAAAGUUUCGGCGGUUGGGGAUGGACUCGCGGCUUAUCAGCUUGUUGGUGGGGUAGUGGCUUACCAAGGCUUUGACGGGUAGCCGGCCUGAGAGGGUGACCGGACACAUUGGGACUGAGAUACGGCCCGGACUCCUACGGGAGGCAGCAGUGGGGAAUAUUGCACAAUGGGCGGAAGCCUGAUGCAGCAACGCCGCGUGCGGGAUGACGGCCCUCGGGUUGUAAACCGCUUUCGCCUGUGACGAAGCGUGAGUGACGGUAAUGGGUAAAGAAGCACCGGCUAACUACGUG
rnacentral:rRNA from 1 species